GCUACAAUUACUGUUGAUGGAUGCCAGCUAGAUUUAUUGACUGAUUCUUUUUAUCUUUUAGAUCACAUCACAGCCUUAAUGAUGUCUGCCACGUUCAGAAAGGCUUGUGACAUUGAUGGUAGAGGAACUGGUCAGCUGGGAUAUUUUAUUUUGCAAAGAUAAUGCACAUCAGGCACUUGGGAGGAUGAGCUUGCUGCAGAUGAGACACUUUCCGCCUAAGCCAGGCAGGGGGAGCACCAAGUCUGGAUAUCCUCCUGCAGUGGAGCCACUUCUGCUUUACAAGUGCCUUCAGAAUACCCUGACUUCAGUGAAUAUUUUGUCCUAAACUCUGGAAAAAACACAGCUGAUAGCAUGGGAUCAGCUGUUUGCUGUUUAUGUUUCCAGGCUGUAUCUGCAUAGUCUAAGUUGACUGCAGUAUAACUGUAAUUUAUUAUGGUUAAUUGGAGUGAAAAUGCAGAAACUGGAGCCAGCAGAAACUGAUGUAGAAAGCCCUUUGCUACUCAGAGAGGGAACAGUGUUUCUGCAUUUUUUAUUGUGUUCUUAUUUUCUGCCUUUAUCCAGAUUAAGGUACAUCUGCCCCUACUGUUAUGUUGCACCCAGUGGUCUUGCUGUGGAAAGAGGAGAGGAUUUUUGCUUUCCUCCUUGGGGAAUGCCUUAACCAUGAGAAGGUUAUGGAGCAGCAGGGCUACUGUUGAAGACUCUUUUCUUAUACUGACUACAAGAGGCUGGGAGAUGAAGAAAGUCCUGAAGAGAGGGCAUCUGUCAUCCAUUUUCUGGUGUUUGCUCCUGAAUAGACCUUUACCAUGUUCCAUUUCACACAGCACUGCAAACAAGAUAAUGAGUGAUUAAUGUACUCUGGUAACUCCAUGGGCACGCUGAGCGACACGCCAGCUGCUCCCGCUGAAGCCCAGGGAACGGUGUGUGAGCAGUGAAAGAUGCACCUUUCUGUAAUGUGUGUGAUGAUGGGGAGUCAAUAUGAGUCUGCUUCUGUUGGCUGGAAUUGUGGGAAUGUGCACCACCGUGGGACCAGGUACCAGGGAAGCGGGAAGACCUUCUUGUCAAUCUUCUUGUCACUCGCCUAUUCCCACGACUGUAAUUGUUGAAGAUAUUAACCAUUUUUCAGACGUGGCUACUCGACACAAAGCUUUCAGGAAACCAAACCAGAAAUCUGCAGAGCUGGAAAGUUGAUAUUGGCUGAGAACAGCAGGUACAGCAGUGAGAAAAGCUUCUUGAUAACCUGGGGCUGCUCCAGGACAGAAGGAAAGGUGCCUCCACUGCCAGGACUGCCCCAUCAGCCACACCACACCGGCCGUGAAAACAUGGCAGGCUCUUCUCCAAGGGUUAAAGUUUUAAGUCACAACUUUCACUGCAGUUUGCACUUAUGCCUAAUUAACUCAAAAUUAAUGGUCCAGAACCUAGUCCAACAGUUAUCCUCAAUGGUGCAGAAAAAAAAUCUCCCUUUUAUGUUUGGGAUAAUACUUUUUUCCUAGAACAGUGUUGGUUAAUCUUGAAGACCAAAGAAUUGUAAGCAUAACUUCAAUGUAUACAUUUAUUUUGCUUUUGUUUCUUCUGCAAUUGUUGAGCCUUUCCUAAGUAUUGCUUUUCUUCA